rnacentral:lncRNA from 1 species
GGUGUUGAUGUAGAUCGCUGUCACAUGAUUAUGUCCCGGGCGGCGGCGGGGAGAGAGCCCCCCUUCUUCUUCUUCUUCCUUGACCUUCUCCCUAGAUGGGAGAAGGGUUUCCCCUCUGGUCCAUGGUCUCCAUGGCGGCGGAGGGGCAAGAGCCCCUCCGAGAUUGGAUCUCUCUCUCUGUGUCCUUCUGUUUCUGCUCUCCCAGAUUCUGGCUUUCAUCGUUUCUUAAAUUCCCAGAGAUCCGUAACUGCGAUUGGGCUGAAAUUUUAACACGAUUUUCUUCCGGAUAUUAGCUUUCUUGUGGAAAAAGAAGGGUCCCAACCGCCUUAGGGAUUGGUCACAAGCCUGUCAGCCGCACCCUAGGGGGCGCCUCUUGGGUUUGUGACCCCCUCGGGCAUCAUUUCACGUUGAUUCUUCUUUCCAAAAAUCAUAAAUAUUCCAAAAAAAUCCCCGUAGGUUUUUUUUGCGUUUGGACUUCGUUUGGUAUGGAUAUUCUGCGAAACAAAAAACAUGCAACAAACAGGAAGUGGCACUGGGCACUAGAUCAAUAUGUUAGUCCCAAAAAUAGUAUAAAAAGUUGCCAAAAGUAUGUGAAAGUUGUAGAAUAUUGGCAUGAAACAAUCAAAAUUAUAGAUACGACAGAGACGUAUCACAGUUGUACAUCUCGUUCGGAGCGGCUUGGCAAUGAAACCAAAGGACAUGCAGUCCCGGGACACACAGUCCCUAUCGUAUUCUCCUUGAGCUAAGGACACAGAGUCCUCGCCCAACACUCGGGGUAAGUCUUCAGGGCGGACUUCCAAACCCUCACAAACUCGGUCACCUGGCGAUCCACAAUUGACUGCUGGAUGCUCUAGACCAUGACGCCUAACCGUAUGGAGGAUGCACAGUCCUCAAAGGUAACAAGCGUCGGUUACACACACGAACAAUUUCUUCAGUGAUGCUCAAUCACUUGGGUUUUUGGUUUGGGUUUGGUAUUCGGGGUAUUUCCUCACUUGAUGAUUUUCUCUUGAAGACUCUAAGGAAUUUGGGUUGAUCUAAAUGACAAGUGUCAGUUUCUCUCGGAGCAGCCAACCACCAAGUGGUUGUGGGGGGGGGGGCUAUUUAUAGCCUGGGAGCAUCCGGACAUGAUUUGACAUAAAUGCCCUUAAAUAAUAUGACCGUUGGGUGGAUAAGAUCAGUGAGGUGGCGCAAGGCGCCACAACGGUUGGAACUUUCAACUGUGAAAGUCCUCAUGUCUUUCAUAUUCCUCACUUUGAGGCUUUGAUAGAUUUAGGCUUGGGUUGAGCAUCAUGAGAAAAAUCAUUCCGUAGUUUUACCUCGACCCCCUUUAACACUACGGUGUUCCUAUGACUCAAGUGGAAAGAAAAUGAAACAGAAAGAGUAAAUCCUCACGCUUCAAAGUCUUUAGAGUGUUUUCUUCAGGACACACCGAAUUCCUCAUCUUCAAUAUCUUCACGAGGAAUAUCAAUUUCAUCGCAAUUUCUUCGCGACCAGAGUCUUCAAGGAAGGACCAAAGUCUUGACCCGAAGACAUACAUUUUUAGGGGUCGAUAUUCAUCGGAUAACUCAACCUCCUCAGCGACUUAUAGAUCAUGUAUACACUCACAAACACAUCAGUCUCUUAACCUAUAAGUCUUCAAACCACCAAAAUCACUAAGGGGCACUAGAUGCACUUACAAUCUCCCCCUUUUUGGUGGUUGCUGACAAUAAGGUUAAGUUUUCAACGGGAAUAAUAAUAUGGAUGUAAGUAGAGAGUUUGAGGAAUAUGAAAUCAAGAUACAGACAAACUCCCCCUGAAGAUGUGCAUAUUUUGAAGAAUUUGGUUUGAACAUCAGAUGCACAUUGAUGAUUUAUAUCAUGGGGAUCUCCCCAUGUAUCUUACAAUUCAUGCAUGCGUUUGACAUAUGGCAUGAGGAAUUAGAAAUGCAUGAUGAAAAAUGGUGUCUGGCGAAUUUCAGCAUGCCUACAUUAAUAAACUUUAAGGAAUAAGCAUGCGAGGAAAAACGUUCAAAAGAGUCAGAACACCAUCGGGCUUAAGUUACAACUCAUUACAUCAAAAACUUCAGAAGAACCAAGAGUUUGUAACUUAAUAAAAUUUAUAAGCCCAUAAUGUAUCCCGCUUGAAGUCUAACUCUCAGAUUUCUCCCCGUGUGUCAUCAAGUGACGAGAAGGGACAAACUGAGGACUAACACCCUUGAAGAAAUUCACUUCUUUGUUGAUGUAGAGGCGUGAGCAUCCUUGGAGACAGGCUUCUUCCUUGGACCAGUUGCAGUGUCGUGUGGUUCUUCAUCUGAUUCUGCAGUGCGAAAUGAGGAAAAAGAAUUGUCCUCCAAGUUAGGAACUGGAAUUGGCUUGAAUUUCUUCUUUGAAGGCCACGGCCAGUCAAAGUCUUGAGUAAAUUCCAUUUAUCCUAGUUCCUAAGGAGUCUUCAGGUGAGCCAAGAUGGCCCAUGUGCGAUCAAAAACCUCAUGAAGAUAAUAGUGAAUUUUCUUCACUGCAUUUUGAGUUUCAUUGAGGGUUUUCACAAUGGUGCCAAACUGGCGUUUCACCCACUUGUGAUCGCGAUCGACUUUCUGGUGAAGAUUGAGGAGAAGCUCUCUAUUGGUCAUCACCCUAGGGGCAGUUGGGCUUGAAGAGUCUUGAGUAGCAGUAUCAUCAUAUGAAGAAUAUGAUUCAGCCUUGCCAAAUUGGUCGUCUAGGGGCCAAUUUCCUUCAUCAAUCACGGACUUGCCUUUGCCUUCAACUGGUCACAAGAUUGCUUGAUGACUUUGAUAGGCGGCAAAUAUCCGAGGUGAUUUUGAAAGUCAGCUUGAUAGUUGAUGCCAGAUUUGUUCCUGAUGAACCUCAUAAUCCAAGGUGCAUAAAUCUUCAGCUCAUAUGGUCUCAAAGCGUUGUCAGCCAAAGUCCUCAAGAAGAAAUCAUGAAGAUUCAUAGGAACGACAUGAAUGACGUUGAAUAGGAUAUUCUUCAUGAUGCCUACAGCGUCUUCUUCAUUGUCACGCCCUUUGAUUGGAGUGAAGGAAUAUGAAAAGAUUCGAUAGACAGUUUUGGGCUCAUACUUCAGAUCCUUUACGAGGUAUCUGGUCCUUGGAGGUUGGCCUUGAGCCAAAGGCUUCAUGAGGACUUCCAUGAGCUUGUUUGACAGUUCUCUUUCAUCAUAUAUUCUGACUGCAUCAUUUGAAGGAAUUGAUAUUGGGAGAGCUCGAAGCAAUUCUGUGGCUGGAGCUUUGUAAUGCGUGCGUUGAGUCAUCCAGUCCAAGACCCAUGUGGUGACGUCUUUGGGGUCGCCUGAGAUAUGGAGUGUGGCAUAGAAUUGAAGAAUUAUGUCAGUAUUCCAAUCACUGAUAUCUGUGCAGAAUGGCAGUAACCAUGCUUCAUGAAGAACAUUGAGGACUGGGGUGAAGCAAGGUAUUUCCUCCAUGUCACAAUGAGGAAUGUGGGUGUGAAGAAAUAUCUUCUUUCUUCCACAAAGCACAUAGGCAUACUAGUUGAGUUGAUUUCUGGUUCAGAAUUUCCUGUGCCUGAUGCGAAGCCUAUCAUAGGGAUUUGCACCUGUGAAGUAAUAGCGUUCAUCAAAGAAUGCUUCCUUCUGAAACUUUAGCCUCUUAGAGAAGGGUUGAUGAGGUUUUGGUUGAAGAUUAUGCUGCUGUUCAUUUUGAGGAGUUGUGGCCACCACAAUGGCAGUUUCAGGAUCCACCACAACAAUUGCAGUUUCCGCAUUUGGAGCAGGAGAAUUUUCUUCAUCUUCAGCAAUUUCUUCAGCUUUAGGAUUUUCUUCAGCUUGAGGAAUUUGUUGAUCUGAGGAAGCAGUUGCAGUUUUUGAUGCUGCAUUUUCUUCAGCUGAUGCAACUGAUUCUUGGUCUUGUGUUGAUUCCUCAUGUAUGCUCUUUUCAUCAGAGCCAGUCAGAAUUUCAAUGUCGGCCAGAAUUUGAGAAAUUUGGGUUGUUCUAGGUGAGUGCUGCGGCAACAAAAGUCCUUCCUUGGCGCUAGGAAUUCUUCUUGUUACUUCUCUGGUUUGCGUUGGUUUUUUCCUUGAAGAGGAAAGGGUGAUGCAGCACAGGAGCAGUAAGUAUUUCCCUCAGUUUGAGAACCAAGGUACCGAUCCAGAAGGAGGGCCUCGUCAAGUCCAGAGUACCUGCGCAAACACAAACAAGCUUGCACCCAACGCUUCAAAGGGGUUGUCAAUCCCUUCAAGAUUGUUUGCGAAGUGAGAUCUGAAGGCGGAAAGUGCAACGAAGUAAAAAAGUGUAAGGCUGAAAAUAUGGUGUGGAGUAGACCCUGGGGGCCAUAGUGUUCACUAGAUGCUUCUCUCAUAAUAGCAAAUAUCUCGGUGGGUGAACGAAUUACUGUCGAGCAAUUGAUAGAACCGCGCAAUGUCAUGACGAUAUCUAAGGCAAUGAUCAUACAUAUAGGCAUCACGUCCGAGACAAGUAGACCGAUACUUUCUGCAUCUACUACUAUUACUCCACACAUCGACCGCUAUCCAACAUGCAUCUAGUGUAUUGAGUUCAUGACGAACAGAGUAACACCUUAAGCAAGAUGACAUGAUAUAGAGGGAUAAUCUCAAACCAAUGAUGAAAACCCCAUCUUUUUACCCUUGAUGGCAACAACACAAUGCGUGCCUCGCUACCCCUUCUGUCACUNNNNNNNNNNNNNNNNNNNNNNNNNNNNNNNNNNNNNNNNNNNNNNNNNNNNNNNNNNNNNNNNNNNNNNNNNNNNNNNNNNNNNNNNNNNNNNNNNNNNNNNNNNNNNNNNNNNNNNNNNNNNNNNNNNNNNNNNNNNNNNNNNNNNNNNNNNNNNNNNNNNNNNNNNNNNNNNNNNNNNNNNNNNNNNNNNNNNNNNNNNNNNNNNNNNNNNNNNNNNNNNNNNNNNNNNNNNNNNNNNNNNNNNNNNNNNNNNNNNNNNNNNNNNNNNNNNNNNNNNNNNNNNNNNNNNNNNNNNNNNNNNNNNNNNNNNNNNNNNNNNNNNNNNNNNNNNNNNNNNNNNNNNNNNNNNNNNNNNNNNNNNNNNNNNNNNNNNNNNNNNNNNNNNNNNNNNNNNNNNNNNNNNNNNNNNNNNNNNNNNNNNNNNNNNNNNNNNNNNNNNNNNNNNNNNNNNNNCAAAAGAAGAUUACAUCAGAUAGAUCUCCAUGAAGAUCAUGGAGAACUUUGUGUUGAAGAUCCAAGAGAGAGAAGAAGCCAUCUAGCUACUAGCUAUGGACCCGUAGGUCUAUGGUGAACUACUCACACAUCAUCGGAGAGGUCAUGGUGUUGAUGAAGGAUCCCUCCGUGUCCGAAUCCCCCUUCCGGCAGGGAACCAGAACGUGCCCCAGAUGGGAUCUUGCGAAGACAGAAGCUUGCGGCGGCGGAAAAGUAAUUUCGAUGAUCUCGUGAUUUUUUGGGAUUUUUAGGGAAUUUAUAGGCGCAACCCCUAGGUCAGGGGGCCCACAAGCCUGUGGGCCGCGGCCUACCCCUUGGUCGCGGGGUGGGGUCUUGUGGGGCCCCUAAGGCUCCCCAGCCUUGGCUUUCAAUCUUCCCGAUCUUCUUCCGUUCCGGAAAAAAUCUUUUCGGGGAUUUUCUUCCGUUUGGAUUCUGUUUCAAAAUCUCCUCUGAAAGGGGUCAAAAAGAUGGAAAAAACAGGAAGUGAAACUUGGCACUGAGUUAAUAAGUUUGUCCCAAAAAUUAUACAAAAGGCAUGCAAAACAUCCAAAGUUUGACAAGAUAAUAGCAUGAAACCAUCAAAAAUUAUAGAUACGUUGGAGACGUAUCAGUGAGUUAGGGUGAGCUUGUUCCCAGAACUCAUCAUGGAUUAUAGGUGUUCUGCAUCUAAUUUCUUCAUCACCCUCCUUUUCUCCAGUGGUCAUGGGAGGUGUUGUGGCUUGAGGAAUAUCGUCAACUUGAAUUUCCUCAUCCAUCGGUGUGGAUGCACGGGAGCGAUUGUCUUCCAUUUCUUCAUCCUCUUCUGGAAUGUUGUAUUCCUCACCGAAUGGAACCAUCAUAUACGACGGUGCUACAUUUAGAGGAGUAGCAUACACCAUGGCUGAUGAAGAUUCUGAAGUCAUCAUCUUCAGAUGUUUUUCUUCUGGUGAUUCUGAAGCCAUUGAAGCUUUUAUCUUUUUAGCUUCCUUUUCAGCCACUUUGGUUUUCUUCACGUCUGCUGCAGACGGAGUCACUUUCUUCACCUUUGAGGAUUUAGGUGAAGGAGCAAUUUCAUCAGAGUCAGGCCUGGCAGAUUCUUCAGCUGGAAUGUUUUGAGGAAUUUUUUCAGUUGUUGGUUCUUCAUUUUCUUCGUCCUCAGCCGUUUGCACAGUAUGGCUUGGUUGAGGCUUUGUUGGCUGCUUGUAAGCGGCAAUUCUACUAUUUUAUUCAUCAACUGCUGCACUUGCGGCUUUGACGAAUUGUACUUUGGCGCCCUUUUGAUCAGCGUGAAGACUUGUAUAUGUGUCUGUGAGAGUCUUCAGCUCCGCCUAAGUAGAAACAAGUUUCUCAGGGGAUAAGGUGAGGAGGUUCUACUUCAAUAAUUUCUCCUUUUUGAUCGUGACAAGCCUAGCUUGCUUGGCUUGCUGAUCCUUCCAUUUAGCUUCAUUUAUGAAAGUGGCAACUGUUGGAAAUAUGCCCUAGAGGCAAUAAUAAAUUUGUUAUUAUUAUAUUUCCUUGUUCAUAAUAAUCGUUUAUUAUCCAUGCUAGAAUUGUAUUGAUUGGAAACUCAAAUACAUGUGUGGAUACAUAGACAACACACUGUCCCUAGUAAGACUCUAGUUGACUAGUUCGUUGAUCAAAGAUGGUCAAGGUUUCCUGACCAUAGGCAAGUGUUGUCACUUGAUAACGGGAUCACAUCAUUAGGAGAAUCAUGUGAUGGACAAGACCCAAAUUAUAUAUGUAGCAUAUUGAUCAUGUCAUUUUAUUGCUAUUGUUUUCCGCGUGUCAAGUAUUUGUUCCUAUGACCAUGAGAUCAUAUAACUCACUGGCACCAGAGGAAUGCCUUGUGUGUAUCAAACGUCACAACGUAUCUGGGUGAUUGUAAAGGUGCUCUACAGGUAUCUCCGAAGGUUUCCGUUGAGUUAGUAUGGAUGAAGACUGGGAUUUGUCACUCCGUGUGACGGAGAGGUAUCUCGGGGCCCACGCGGUAAUACAACAUCACACACAAGCCUUGCAAGCAAUAUGACUAAGUGUAAGUCACGAGAUCUUGUAUUACGGAACGAGUAAAGAGACUUGCCGGUAAUGAGAUUGAAAUUGGUAUGCGGAUACCGACGACCGAAUCUCGGGCAAGUAACAUACCGAAGGACAAAGGGAAUGACAUACAGGAUUAUAUGAAUCCUUGACACUGAGGUUCAACCGAUAAGAUCUUCGAAGAAUAUGUAGGAUCCAAUAUGGGCAUCCAGGUCCCGCUAUUGGAUAUUGAUCGAGGAGUACCUUGGGGCAUGUCUACAUAGUUCUCGAACCCGCAGGGUCUGCACACUUAAGGUUUGGUGAUGUUUUAGUAUAGUUGAGUUAUAUGCGUGGUUACCGAAUGUUGUUUGGAGUCCUGGAUGAGAUCACAUACGUCACGAGGGUUUCCAGAAUGGUCCGGAGAUGAAGAUUGAUAUAUAGGAUAACCUCAUUUGAUUACCGGAAGGUUUUUGGGCAUUACCGGGAAUAUACCGGGUGUGACGAAUGGGUUCCGGAUGUUCACCGGGAGGGGGCCAGACCACCCGAGGAAGCCCAUAGGUCCGAGGGGUGGCGCACCAGCCCUUGGUGGGCUGGUGGGACAGACCAAAAGGGCCCUAUGUGCCAGGGAUAGAAAAUCAAAGAGAAAGAAAAAAAAGGGGAGGCGGGAAGGAAGGGAAGGACUCCACCUUCCUAUCCUAGUUGGACUAGGAUUGGAGGUGGACUCCUACACCUCCUAGACGGCGCACCAUAGGGGGCCUUGUCCCUCAAGGCAAGCCUCCCCUCCCCUCCUCCUAUAUAUAGUGGAGUUUUAGGGCUGAUUUGAGACAACUUUUGCCACGGCAUCCUGACCACAAACACCACGGUUUUUCCUCUAGAUCGUAUUUCUGCGGAGCUCGGGUGGAGCCCUGCAGGAGUAGAUCCUUCACCACCACCGAAGCGUCGUCACGCUGCCGAAUAACUCAUCUACUUCUCCGUCUUGCUUGCUGGAUCAAGAAGGGCGAGAUCAUCAUCGAGUUGUACGUGUGUUGAACGCGGAGGUGCCGUCCGUUCGGUACUAGAUCGGAGCGGAUCGUGGGAGUUAUCGUGGGACGGUUCGUGGGACGGUCCGAUGGGCGGAUCGAGGGACGUGAGGACGUUCCACUACAUCAACCGCGUUUCUUAACGCUUCCUGCUGUGCGAUCUACAAGGGUACGUAGAUCCAAAUCUCCUCUCGUAGAUGGGCAUCACCAUGAUAGGUCUUCGUGCGUGUAGGAUUUUUUUUGUUUCCCAUGCGACGUUCCCCAACAGCAACCAUGUGGCUGACUCCAGGAGGAAGCUUCAAAUCAUCAAUUGGAGUGUUUGGAUCCUCAUGCCAGAGAUCAAUGAAGAUUAGCAAUUCCUUCGGAUCUAGCGUGAGAGGAAUGGUGCUUCGAGUGGCUUGUGCAACUCUUUCCUGCUUGUUUCUGAUGAUGGCUUGAAGAGUUUUAUCAUCAUAUUCUUCACUUUCUUCUGAUGCAGAAGGAAUGUUGACGAAUUUUCCAGGGCUUGGCCUGGUACCUCUACCAGCAGUCAUCUUAGUCUUCAACAGACUUGGUGAAGAUUUUGACGCAGAGCGAGUGGCAGAUGGCAUAGAGGAACUAGGGUUUUCCGAUUGAAUCUUACUGAGUUGCUUUUGCUGAGGUGGUGAAGACCUGGCUGCAGUUGAGGAUUUUGCAGUCGUUGCACUUUCUGAGGAAAUUUCUCUUUUGAUGCAGUUGUUGAGGCUUCUGGCUUGAGACUUGGUUUCUUCAGCAGAGCCUUUUUGUGAGGAAUGUCAGUAGCAAAGGCAUGUGCAACUGAAGAAAUGGGAGCAGUUGCUGCUGCAGUAGAGUCCUCAUUGAAUUUCGUCACAACAGCUUUAGCCUUUUUCUGCAGCUUAGACAAAUAUUUAUCUCUUUCAUCAGGGUAAUCCUCAAUAGUAGCUACAUUUGAGGGAUGAGCUGCUUGUUGAUCUCCGUGUGGCAACCUUUUGGAGGGAGCCUUGAGGGAAACUUCUUGGUAUAUUUUGGAGGCACAUAUCUGUAUUCUUUCCACUAUUUUGCCCAUCGGCGUUUUAUCCUCCGAAUCCUUAUCUUGCGCUUCGCCAUGGUCUCUUUACUGUGAAUUUCCUCAUCAGGUGUACAAUAAUCAACAUAGAUCUCCUCAGGGAUCUCAAAGGCAGUGUUUUGUUCCAGCUUCUUGCCCCCUUUUUGUUUCCUGUCUUCCUCCAUUUUCUUCAGCUCAGGCUUUUGCUGAGGAAUUUGUAUUCUUGAUGACUCUGAGGACACAGGUAAUGUUUCUUCUAGAAAUGCUACAAAUGAGUUAAGUUGAUGAGAACCUAGAGAUUCAUCAGCUGACAUUUUGUACCUGUGAACAUAGUAUAUAUAGGUGCGAAGAAUUUGGAGAGGUCAUAUGCGUUCUCAGAUUUGAGGAAAUUGAAGAAUUACUUAAGUUGAGGAAUUUGACCACUGAGUUGAGGAAUUUGACUAAGCAUUCUGAUCUUGGGUUCCAGAGUUGUGCAGAUUCGAAAAUUUACACAACUGAGAAAUCUCGUGAAGAAUUUCAGUGACUUAGUGAAAUUCAUCAAGUGUUCUAGACAUGAGUGUGCACUGCUAAGGAAAUUUCUGAGGAAAAACUAAUUUCACGAAUCUAAAGAGAAUUAUGAGAUCAACAGGGGCAGUAAAAUAGGAUUUUCUUUACCCUGUGCGAAGAACACGAUGAACUGAAGCAGUAAAAAUGGGAAGUUCUUCGGUCCAGAUCUUCAGUGCCCUAAAUUGGCGACCGAAGACAGCUACGACAGCGGCGGAGGAAGAUAUUCCGCAGUCGACGUGAGUCCGGCGACGACAAGGGCGAGGCAGUGAAGCUUUUCCUCACCGGUGACGAAGAUGCUAGCGGCGAUGCUAGGGUUUGAGCUCGAGCAGAGAAGACGAGAGGAAGAGAAGAGUUUCAGCUGACGGGGGGGGGGGGAANNNNNNNNNNNNNNNNNNNNNNNNNNNNNNNNNNNNNNNNNNNNNNNNNNNNNNNNNNNNNNNNNNNNNNNNNNNNNNNNNNNNNNNNNNNNNNNNNNNNNNNNNNNNNNNNNNNNNNNNNNNNNNNNNNNNNNNNNNNNNNNNNNNNNNNNNNNNNNNNNNNNNNNNNNNNNNNNNNNNNNNNNNNNNNNNNNNNNNNNNNNNNNNNNNNNNNNNNNNNNNNNNNNNNNNNNNNNNNNNNNNNNNNNNNNNNNNNNNNNNNNNNNNNNNNNNNNNNNNNNNNNNGGGGGGGGGGGGUAAGGGGCUAUUUAUAGCUCAGGUAAAAACGGUCCGGGCCGGAACUUUCGGACCGAACUGCCCUUGCGCCCUCGUCUCCGCGUGACACGUGGUGCCCACGAUCGAAGCGGUGGAGAUUGUGGUUAUCCAAACGUGAGUAGUGGGUGCGGUUACUGUGGUAACUUUAAAAAUAACUUUUGAAUCUUGAGGAUUUUGUUGCAAAGUCCUCGGCUGACAAGGACUCGGUGAGGAUUUUGAACAAGUGUCAAAUAGAAUGCAUAUGAAGAAUUGAGAAUAGACUGGGUUGAGCUUAGCAUAGAGGGGAGUCGGGUCCGAUCACAUUCACUUAGAAGAAAUAUCAAACUGAAGACUGAGCAAUAAGUGAAUGUUGUUGAGGACAUUGAAAGCUCAUUAAUAUAUAUAUAUACAUAUAGUAAAAUGAAGAUCACCACAAAAAGUUUUGAAGAAUUUGAAGAUUUUGAAGACUUUGAAAAAUUUGAGGAAUUUGUGAAAAAGUCUCAAAUUGAAGAAUUUCAACUUUGAAGAAUUUUCAACUUGAAGAAUUUCAAAGUUGGGUGGUGGCUUUACCCACCGUAUAAGAAUGAUGAUUCCAGGCGCCGUGUACAAUUGUCAUAGGGCCGUGAGAACCAAAUUCAUCAUUGAUUUCUUCACACUUAAAGUGAUAUUCUUAAUUGAUUGAAGAAAAUCAUUACUUUGUGUGUUGCACAUCUAAGUCAUCAAUUUUGCAUAAGUGUUAGGAUGUGUGCAUGUUUACAAGACAUUCGAUGAUUCUAGGAUAUUUAGCUCACACCGCAACUUGCAAAACCUUCUCUCAUCCAAGGGCUUUGUGAAAAUGUCUGCUAGUUGAUCAUCAGUCUUCACAUGGUCGAUGAUGAUAUUGCCCUUGAGGAUAUGGUCACGAAGAAAAUGAUGACGGAUCUGGAUGUGCUUGGUCUUCGAGCAUCGUACUGGGUUGUAGGCGAUCUUGAUUGCACUCUCGUUGUCACAGUAGAGGGGCACAUUCUUCAUGUUGAUGUCGUAGUCUCUGAGGGUUUGCUUCAUCCAGAGCAGUUGAGCACAUUAAGAUCUAGCAUCAAUGUACUCAGCUUCAGCACUCGAGAGUGAUACACAAUUCUGCUUCUUUGAGGACCACCAGACUAAUGAUCUUUCGAGGAAAUGGCAUGUGCCUCGUGUUGACUUGCGAUCCACACGGUCACCAGCAUAAUCAGAAUCAGAAUACCCAACGAGGUGAAGAUUUGAACCCUUGGGGUACCAUAAUCCUAGUGUUGGUGUGUGAUACGUCUCCAACGUAUCUAUAAUUUUUUAUGGUUUUAUGCUAUUAUCUUGUCAAACUUUGGAUGUUUUGCAUGCCUUUUAUAUAAUUUUUGGGACUAACUUAUUAACUCAGUGCCAAGUGCCAGUUCCUGUUUUUUCCAUGUUUUUGACGCCUUUCAGAGGAGAUUUUGAAACGGAGUCCAAACAGAAUAAAAUCCCCGAAAAGAUUUUUUCCGUAAUAGAAGAAGAUCAGGAGACUUGACAGCCAAGGCAGGGGAUCCCCAGGGGAACCACAAGGCCCCACCCCGCGGCCAAGGGGGGAGGCCGCGGCCCACAGGCUUAUGGGCCCACUGGACCUCCUUUGCCCUAGGUUUCGCGCCUAUAUAUCCCCAAAAAUUCCACAAAAAAUCAGGAGAUCAUCAAAAGUACUUAUCCACCGUCGCAAGCUUCUGUCUCCGCAAGAUCCCAACUGGGGCACGUUUUGGUGCCGUGUCGGAGGGGGGAUUCGGAUACGGAGGGCUUCUUCAUCAACACCAUGACCUCUCCGAUGAUGCGUGAGUAGUUCACCAUAGACCUACGGGUCCAUAGCUAGUAACUAGAUGGCUUCUUCUCUCUCUUGGAUCUUCAAUACNAUCUUCAUGGAGAUCUAUAUGAUGUAAUCUUCUUUUGAAGUGUGUUUGUCGAGAUCCGAUGAAUUGUGGAUUUAUGAUCAGAUUAUCUAUGAAUCUUAUUUGAGUUUCUUCUGAUCUCUCUUAUGCAUGAUUUCAUAUCCUUGUAAUUCUCUUCGAGUUGUGGGUUUUGUCUGACCAACUAGAUCUAUGAUUCUUGCAAUGGGAGAAGUGCUUGGUUUUGGGUUCAUACCGUGCGGUGACCUCACCGAGUGACAGAAGGGGUAGCGAGGCACGCAUCAUGUUGUUGCCAUCAAGGGUAAAAAGAUGGGGUUUUCAUCAUUGGUUUGAGUUUAUCCCUCUACAUCAUGUCAUCUUGCUUAAGGCGUUACUCUGUUCGUCAUGAACUCAAUACACUAGAUGCAUGCUGGAUAGCGCUCGAUGUGUGGAGUAAUAGUAGUAUAUGCAAAAAGUAUCGGUCUACUUGUCUCGGACAUGAUGCCUAUAUGUAUGAUCAUUGCCUUAGAUAUCGUCAUGACUUUGCGCGGUUCUAUCAAUUGCUCGACAAUAAUUUGUUUACCCACCGUGAUAUUUUCUAUUUUGAGAGGAGCCUCUAGUGAACACUAUGGCCCCGGGGUCUACUCCACACCAUAUUUUCAGCCUUACACUUUUUACUUCAUUGCACUUUUCGCCUUCAGAUCUCACUUUGCAAACAAUCUUGAAGGGAUUGACAACCCCUUUAAAGCGUUGGGUGCAAGCUCUUUUGUGUUUGCGCAGGUACUCUGGACUUGACGAGAUUCUCCUACUGGAUUGAUACCUUGGUUCUCAAACUGAGGGAAAUACUUACUGCUCCUAUGCUGCAUCACCCUUUCCUCUUCAAGGGAAAAACCAACGCAAGCUCAAGAGAUGAUAGAAGGAUCUUUGGCACCACUGUCGGGGAAGGACUUUUGUUGCCGUAGCAGAAGGAUUUUGGCGCUGUUGCCGGGGGGAUCAAGUCAAGAACUCAUCCAAGUAGGUGUCGCAAACUCAUCUCUUGCAUUUACUUUAUUUGCCAGUUGCCUCUCGUUUUCCUCUCCCCCACUUCACAAUUUUCCUUUUUCGUUUGCCUUUUCGUUCACCUUUUUUUUUCUCGCUUGCUCUAUGUUCGCUCGUGUGCUUGCUAGUAGAAGUCACCAUGAAUGAAAACACCAAACUUUAUGACUUCUCGAAUACUAAUAAUAAUGAUUUUAUUAGUACUCCGAUUGCUCCCGCCACUAGUGCGGAGUCAUACGAAAUCAAUGCCGCUUUGCUGAAUAUUGUUAUGAAAGAGCAAUUCUCCAGCCUUCCUAGUGAAGAUGCCGCAUCCCAUCUCAAUACCUUCAUUGAGCUUUGCGAUAUGCAAAAGAAGAGAGAUGUGGAUAAUGACGUGAUUAAAUUGAAUCUUUUUCCUUUCUCGUUGCGAGAUCGCGCAAAAACUUGGUUUUCUUCUUUGCCCAAAAAUAGUAUCGAUUCUUGGGAUAAGUGCAAAGAUGCUUAUAUAUCCAAGUAUUUUCCGCCGGCUAAGAUUAUCUCUCUCCGUAAUGAUAUCAUGAAUUUCAAGCAACUUGAUCAUGAACAUGUUGCACAAUCUUGGGAGAGAAUGAAAUUAAUGAUUAGAAAUUGUCCCGCUCAUGGCUUGAGUCUUUGGAUGAUUAUUCAAAUCUUUUACGUUGGCUUGAAUUUCGCUUCUAGAAAUAUCUUGGACUCCGCCUCAGGUGGAACGUUCAUGGAAAUCACGUUAGGGGAAGCCACAAAGCUCUUAGACAACAUCAUGACGAACUACUCUCAGUGGCACACUGAAAGGUCACCUACUAGUAAGAAGGUACACGCUAUAGAAGAAAUUAACUCGUUGAGUGCUAAGAUGGACAAGUUAAUGAAUUUGGUUGCUAGUAGAAGUGCUCCUUUAGAUCAUAUUGGUAUGCCCUUGUCUUCUUUGAUUGAUAGUAGCAACGCUAGCUUGGACGUUAAUUUUGUUGGUAGGAAUAACUUUGGCAACAACAAUGCUUUUAGAGGAAACUAUGUUCCUAGGCCUUUUCCUAGUAACUCCUCUAAUAAUUUUGGCAACUCCUACAACAAUACUCAUGGAAAUUACAAUAGAUUACCCUCUGAUCUAGAGAGUAAUAUCAAAGAGUUCAUCAACUCUCAAAAGAUUUUCAAUGCGUCCAUAGAGGAAAAACUACUCAAAAUUGACGAUUUGGCUAAGAGCGUUGAUAGAAUGUCUAGUGAUGUUGAUGCUUUGAAAGUUAGAUGUGCUCCUGCCAAGAUCAACAUGGAUGAAAAUUUGAAAGCUAUGCGUGUUUCCAUGAUUGAGAGCCAAGAAAGAACCGCCAAAAUUCGUGCUAGACAUGAAUGGCUUAAAAAGGUGUGUUCUCGUGAUAAGAAUCACGAAGAUCUUAAAGUGCUAGGUGUAACUCCCAUUGAAUCUUUUUUUUCUUGUGUCAAACCUAAUGAUUAUGGGGCUGGAUAUGAAUCCACUUUGGUUGAAAAGUGCCCCAAUGAUUCGGAGUCCAUCUAUCUUGAUGCUAAAAGCAUUGAAAGUGGAGUAGAAGAUGUUAAAACUUUGAGUAGUAAUGAAAUUACUACCAUGGAUUUCAAGGAAUUCAAUUAUUAUAGUUGCUCCUUGAUUGAAUGCAUUUCUUUGAUGCAAUCCAUGUUAAACUCUCCACACGCUUAUAGCCAAAACAAGGCCUUUACCGAUCAUAUCGUCGAAGCUAUGGUAAAAUCUCUUGAAGAGAAACUUGAAUUGGAAGUCUCUAUCCCUGGAAAGCUUCAUGAUGAGUGGAAACUUACCAUCAAAAUCAAAAUCAAAAACUAUGAAUGCAAUGCUUUGUGUGAUUUGGGUGCUAGUGUUUCUGCGAUUCCAAAGUCUUUAUGUGAUGUUCUGGGUUUUAAUGAGAUUGAAGAGUGUUCUCUUAAUUUGCAUCUUGCUGAUUCUACUGUCAAGAAACCCAUGGGAAUGAUCAAUGAUGUUCUUAUUAUUGCAAAUAGGAACUAUGUACCCGUGGAUUUCAUUGUGCUUGACAUUGAUUGCAAUCCUGCAUGCCCUAUUAUUCUUGGUAGACCUUUCCUAAGGACUAUCGGUGCUAUCAUUGAUAUGAAGGAAGGGAAUAUUAGAUUUCAAUUUCCUUUAAGGAAGGGCAUGGAACACUUUCCUAGAAAUAAAACAAGAUUGCCUUAUGAAUCUAUGAUGAGGGCCACUUAUUGUUUGAGCACCAAAGACGACGAUACGUGAUUCUAUCGCUUUUAUGCCUAGCUAAGGGCGUUAAACAAUAGCGCUUGUUGGGAGGCAACCCAAUGAAUUUAGAGAGAAUUCCUUCUAUGACACUACUCUUAAAUUUGAUGCCUUAUGUGACACUCCCAACUUUUUGCUUCCUUCUAUGGUCACUUGUGUAAAAAUUAUGCCUCACAUGACACUGCCAUUGGUUCUGUUAAAUCGUUCUGUCACUUUUUACCCGUCUAGACCAAACAACCCCCGUUUGACUCGAUCUAGCACCCCCAGCCCAGCCUUCCUCAUGUUACGAGCAAAGCAGAGCCCACACCUCAUGUGAAACCCUAGCAGCAGCGGCGCGGCUGUGUCACCGGAAGGCACGGCGACCGAGGGCGCCAUGGAGCAGGCGGCGGCUCAAGAAGAACCAGGCGGCGCGACGGCUGAGGGCGGGCAAGGCGCGGCGGCCGACGGCGUCAUGGAGCAGGCGGCGGCUGAAGGAGAAGCAGGCGGCGCGACGUCGGAGGGCGGGCAAGGCGCGGCGGCCGAGGGCGGGCAAGGCGGGGCAGCCGAGGGCGCCAUGGAGGGCGGGCAAGGCGCGGCGGCCGAGGGCGCCAUGGAGGGCGGGCAAGGCUGGUCGGCUUGGGCAGAUUGGCAAGAAGGGUGAGUGCUUCGAGCUUGUACUCUCCAGAUGCUGAAAUUUAGUAGCAAUGUGUGAGCUGUGUAUGCUGAAAUUUAGUAGCAAGAAGGAUAAGUAUGGAGAUCUCUUUGGUAUGCAUAAAUUUAGUAGCAAUGUUUAUGUAUUUCUCUGUGAUUUGCAGGAUGAAUCCAGAAAAGGUAGUGCAGAUGUUGAUUGCAUAUUGUGAUCCCUCCAAAGAAACAUAUGAGCAUGUUCAAGCGAACAACAACACAAACGAGGCCGAUGAUAGUUAUCUUUGCAACCCAAUCCCGGAGAAUGAGCAUGUUGGUAUUGACAAGGAGAAAAUGUAUUUGGAGAAAUAACCUAUGCCUAUAAAAUUGGUUCUUUUUUCUGGUAAAGAGAAAGACAAAACCAAUGUUUCUGAGGAUGGUAGCGAGGAUGGUAGCGAGGAUGGGAGUGAGGAUGGGAGCGAGGAGGAGCCUGAAGUAGAGGAGGAGCCUGAAGUAGAGGAGGAAGAGUUGCAUGAGUCAGAUCAUGCCCCAAAUACAGAGUAUGAACAGCAAGACCCUCCAAUGACUGUAGGAUCCACAUAUCCCAAUAUGGAUGUGUUUAAGUUGGCUCUUUCUCAGCAUGCAGUCAAACGUGACUUUGAGUAUAACACAGUGAAGCACACAACGUAGGUUAAGGGUCUAUUGUAAAAGAAGAGAUGAAGAUGAUUGCCCAUGGAGGAUACAUGCUUCUACAACAGCUGAUAGGUGUACUGUAAUGGUAAUUGUCUAACUGUACUUAUUUCUGAAUAUAUCUUGCAUAAAUGCUGAGGAGAUUUUAGCUUACCUGUAUUCCUCUUUUGUAGGUGAAAAAAAACUUUUGACCACGAUUGUUCUAGUGCGAAAAGGAAAAAGAAAGUGAAGAACGCAACUAAGUUCUGGAUAUGUGAGAAGGUGAAAGAUUGGCUCAUUGGAGAUGCAACUCUAGGAGCAAAGGAAUUGCGACAAAAGUUGAAAGAACACUACAAGAUCAAAAUCCACUACAAGAGAGUCUAUAUGGGUAAGCUACUAGCCUUGAAGCAACUAUACGGUGAUUGGGAUAGUAGUUUUAACAACUUGUAUAGGUUUAAAGCACAAGUUGAAAGUUGCUGCCCUAAUAGCAUAGUGCAUAUCGACCAUCAUACCAUAAAUGGUAAAAUAAGGUUUAGAAGAAUUUUUGUUGCUCUCAAACCUUGCAUAGAUGGAUUUCUUAGUGGCUGUAGGCCAUAUUUAGUUGUGGACAACACCUUUAUGACAGGCAGAUUCAAGGGGCAAUUGGCUAGUGCUACUGCAGUGGAUGGCCAUAAUUGGAUGUAUCCAGUUUGUUUUGGAGUUUUUGACUCUGAAACAAAUGAAAAUUGGAUAUGGUUCAUGCAAUUGCUAAGACAGGCCAUAGGAUCACCAACAGGUUUAGCCAUAUGCACUGAUGCUAGCCAAGCAGUGAUGAAAGGGGUAAAAGAAGUGUUCCCGGAGGCAGAACAUAGAGAAUGUAUGUUCCACUUGGUGAGCAACUUCAAGAAGAAGAUUACUGGAAAAGUAUUUGAUGACCACCUAUGGGAAGCUGCUUACUCAUGGAACCCAUAUACAUUUUACAAGAAUUGGGCUGCAAUGGAGGCAGUAAAGCCAGCCUCAACAACAUAUAUUAGGAAGUGGCACAAUAGGUUGUGGUCUAGGAGUCAGUUCUCGACCAUAUGCAAGGUGGACUAUGUAACCAACAACUUGGCAGAGUGCUUUAACAAUUGGAUCAAGCACCACAAGUCAUUGAACUUGGACGAUUUCUUGGAUAAGGCAAGGCAGCUGAUUAUGAUCUUGUGGAAUGAUAGGAGAAAAGUAGCAAAGAAGUUAGAUGGAUUGAUUCUACCCCACAUAAUGAAGAAGUUAAACGCAAUGACUAGAGAAUUCAACUUGGAGGUAGUACAAUGCUCAGAAGAAGUGGCUGAAGUGGUUGCAUUAGGGGGCAGCGGUUUUAGGUUUGUCGUUAACUUGCAAGAUCAAACAUGUUCAUGUCGACAAUGGAAAGUUUGUGGUCUUCCUUGCAAACAUGCUCUUGCAUUCAUCACGUCACUUAGCGAAGCUCACAUAAAGAAUUACGUUGAUUUGUAUUAUUCCACUAAAAAAUUCAGAGCAGCCUAUUCCAACCUGAUCCCUGCUAUGCGUGACAAGAGCCAAUGGCCUGAAUCUGACCAUGGAUUUUUCAUGCAUCCACCACUACUUAAAGCUACAACUGGCAGACCUAAAACUGAGGGAUAUAAAGGUUGUAGUGACAAGAAAAGAAAAGGGGGCAAGCACUUAUGUCCAAUUUGUAAGGAAUAUGGGCAUCAUUGGCACAACUGUAAGAAGGGUAACCCUGAUGACAUUGCUGCAAUGUUGGCUAUUAGGUAAUAUAGAUUACUCUUCCUUGAUUGUCUUAUUAUUUUUGUUUGCAACUACAUGUGUUAACUACUUUUCCUAUUUCUCAUGUAGAGAACCACCAAAGAAGAGGGCAAAGACUAGCAAAACAGCCCAGUCCAUUGUGCCUUGCGAGGAUGGAGCACCAACAAGGAUGCUUUUUCCACCACCAAGGUUAGCACUUAUACACUUCUGCCAAUGAAUAUGAAAACUCACUUUAUGUUCUAAGUUUUUUCUUUCUCAUCAUAGCCAAAUCUUGGAAACUACAACUAAGAAAAAGAGAAAACAUGACAACACUAAAUCUGGAGGUUCAAAGAGGUACUUUUCUGUAUUACUUGAUGUUGCUGCCAUAAACUUGUUGUAUUAUGUUGCUGCCAUAAACUUGCUGCUGCUCUAAACUUACUGCUGCCAUAAACUUGUUGUUGUCAUUACCGCGAUAAACUUGCUACUGCCAUAAAAUUUAUGGUGUCAUUACUACCCUAAACUUACUGUUGCCAUACACACAUGUGCAGAUCAAAAACUAGCUCCAUUGAGAAGGCCAAGACGGAAAAGAAGGUUGCUGAGAAGAUUCCGAUGCCACUUGACAUCCCUGCUAUGAGAACAAGGGGCAGAAAGUUUAAUCCUCCUAGCCUUGCUAUGAGCACAAGAAGCAAAAGAAGGCUCAGCUUGUAAUUUCAUAUGCUUCUAUGCUCUUCCAUUGAUAUAAGAGAUCUCUUGAUGUAAUGGUUCUUUUGGAGUUCCUGUGAUAUGCUGGUUCUUUUAGAAGUCCUUUGGCCUGACAUAUGUGAACUAUUGGUGACUUAUGUGUGAAUCUGGUUGCUUAUGGCACUUGUUGAGAAUUGUUCAAUCCAUUAUAUACAUAUAAACUGUGUACAGGGGAUAUCGCAUCAAAAUACAGGGGAGGUUCUGCCAAUUUUUUGAUUUUUGAUUUUAUUUUUUCUUGUAUUUUUGUCACACAUAGUACAACAAUAUUUAUUGUAUUUUUGUCACACAUUACACCAGGGGCAAAAGUGACUUUGUAUGUGAAAAGUUGACACCGUAGAAGGAAGCAAAAAUGUUGGGAGUGUCACAUAAGGCAUCAAAUUUAAGAGUAGUGUCAUAGAAGGAAUUCUCUCAUGAAUUUAUCUUUUUAUUUCUAUUUUGUUGCGUCCACACCAUCAUAAUUCUGUUGUGAUUGUGUUUUUUUUGUUUCUUUUUAUGUUUGAGCCAAGCAAAACCUUUAUGACCAGUCUUGGUGAUGGUUGUUUGAUCCUGCUGGAAAAAGACACAAACUUUUUGCUCACAGAUGAUUUUUCAUUUCUAUUCAGAAAGAGCUUUUGAGUUGAUUCGUUUUGCUGCUGGUUGAUAUGACUUUUUCCUAGGCAGUCGUAAUUUGUCAGAAUUUUUGAGGUACCAGAAGUAUACGAAGUAUACAGAUUGCUACAGACUGGUCUGUUUUUGACAGAUUCUGUUUUUGUUGAGUUGGUUGCUUGUUUUGAUGAAACUAUGGUUAGUAUCGGGGGGGUACUAGCCAUGGAAAAGUGAGAAUACAGUAUAUCAACACCAAUAUAGAUGGAAUUUAAGUUUGCUAUAGUACCAAAAGAGGUGGUAGUUUGUUUUCUUGUGCUAAUGUUAUCACGAGUUUCUGUUUAAGUUUUGUGUUGUGAAGUUUUCAAGUUUUGGGUGAUGUUCUCAUGGACAAAGAGAUAAGGAGUGGAAAGAGCUCAAGCCUAGGGAUGCCCAAGGCAUCCCAAGCCAAAUUCAAGGACACCAAAAAGCCUAAGCUUGGGGAUGCCCCGGGAAGCAUCCCCUCUUUUGUCUUCAAUCCAUCGGUAACAUUACUUGGAGCUAUAUUUUUAUUCACCACAUGAUAUGUGUUUUGCUUGGAGCAUCUUGUAUCGUAGGAGUCUUUUUUUUGUGUCACAAUCAUCCUUGUUGCACACCUUUUUGAGAGAGAGAGAGACAUGCACUCAUCGUGAUUUUGCUAGAAUGCUCAUAGUGCUUCACAUAUAUCUUUUGAGCUAGAUACUUUUGCUCUAUGUGCUUCACUUAUAUAUUUUAGAGCACGGCGGUGCGUGACUUGGUAGUUGGCUUAUGCUAUGAAAGUAGUCCCAAAUGUGAUAGGUACCCAAAGAGGAUGCAAAAACCUCCAUCUUCAUGUGCAUUGAGUAGAAAGAGAAGUCUUGAUUCCUCUCAAUUAGUUUUGAGACGUGGAUUUGGUAAUAUUAAGAGCUAUGUUAGUAGGGUGUUGUGAAUCUAGAGAUACUUGUGUUGAAGUUAGUGAUUCCCGAGCAUGCACGUAUGGUGAACCGCUAUGUUAGGAAGUCGGAGCAUAAUUGAUCUAUUGAUUGUCAUCCUUUGUUUUGAGGUCGGGAUCGCGCGAUGGUUAACACCUACCAACCCUUCCCCUAGGAGUAUGCGUUUUGCACUUUGUUUCGAUUACUAAUAAAAUAUUUCGCAACAAGUAUGUGAGUUCUUCAUGACUAAUGUGAGUCCAUGGUAUAGAUGCACUUUCACCUUCCACCAUUGCUAUCCUCUCUAGUACCGCGCAAUUCUCGCCGGUGCACAAACCCACCAUAUGCCUUCCUCAAAACAGCCACCAUACCUACCUACUAUGGCAUUUUCAUAGCCAUUCCGAGAUAUAUUGCCAUGCAACUCCCACCGUUCCGUCUCAUGACUUGUGCCGUCACUCUCAUAUUGCCAUUGCAUGAUCGUAAGAUAGCUAGCGAGAUGUUUUCAACGUCAUAUGCCAUGCUAGAUCGUUGCACAUCCCGGUACACUGUCGGAGGCAUUUCCUAUAGAGUCAUCAUCAUUUUGAGCUUUGAGCUUAGAGUAAAUAAAAGUGUGAUGAUCAUAAUUGUUAGAGCAUUGUCCCAUGUGAGGAAAUAAAAAAAGGCCAAAGAGCCCAAAAAAGGAGAAAAUAGAAAAAAAAGGGAGGCCUAAGAGCCCAAAUAAAAAAAGUGAGAAAAAGAGAGAAGGGACAAUGCUACUAUCUUUUUCCACACUUGUGCUUCAUAAUAGCACCAUGUUCUUCAUGAUUGAGAUCUUCUUGCUUUGUUACUACCAUAUGCUAGUGGGAAUCUUCAUUAUAGAACUUGGCUUGUAUAUUCCAAUGAUGGGCUUCCUCAAAUUGCCCUAGGUCUUCGUGAGCAAGCAAGUUGGAUGCACACCCACUAGUUCUCCUUUUGAGCUUUCACAUACUUAUAGAUCUAGUGCAUCUCUUGUAUGGCAACCCCUACUCGUUCACAUUGAUAUCUAUUAAUGGGCAUCUCCAUAGUCCUUUGAUACGCCGAGUCAAUGUGACCAUCUCCUCCUUUUUGUCUUACAACCACCACCACACUCUAUUCCACCUAUAGUGCUAUAUCCAUGGCUCACGCUCAUGUAUUGCGUGAUAGUUAUAAAAAGUUUGAGAAAGUAAGAGUGCGAAAACAAUUACUUGGCCAAUACUGGGGUUGUGCAUGAUUUACAUUAGUUGUGUGAGGAUCAUGGAGCAUGGUCAGACUAUAUGUUUUUGUAGGGAUAAGUUUCAUUGGCCUUGUUAUUUUGAAAGUUCAUGAUUACUUUGCUAGUUUUCUUGAAGUAUUAUUGUUUUCAUGUCAAUAGAAAACUAUUGUUUUGAAUCUUAUGGAUCUGAACAUUCAUGUCACAUGAAAGAAGUUGCAAAGGACAACUAUGCUAGGUAUCAUUCCACAUCAAAAAUUCAUUCUUUAUCACUUCCCUACUCGAGGACGAGCACGAGUUAAGCUUGGGGAUGCUUGAUACGUCUCCAACGUAUCUAUAUUUUUUGAUGGUUUCAUGCUAUUAUCUUGUCAAACUUUGGAUGUUUUGCAUGCCUUUUAUAUAUUUUUUGGGACUAACGUAUUAACUCAGUGCCAAGUGCCAGUUCCUGUUUUUCCAUGUUUUUUACCCCUUUCACAGGAGAUUUUGAAAUGGAGUCCAAACGGAAUAAAAUCCCCAAAAAGAUUUUUUUCCGUAACAGAAGGAGAUCACGAGACUUGAGAGCCAAGGCAGGGGAUCCCCAGGGGCCCCACAAGCCCCACCCCGCGGCUAGGGGGGAGGCCGCGGCCCACAGGCUUGUGGGCCCCCUGGAUCUUCUUUGCCCUAGGUUUUGCGCCUAUAUAUCCCCAAAAAUUCCACAAAAAAUCAGGAGAUCAUCGAAAGUACUUUCUCACCGCCGCAAGCUUCUGUCUCCACAAGAUCCCAUCUGGGGCACGUUCUGGUGCCCUGCCGGAGGGGGGAUUCGGANCGAGAUCCGAUGAAUUGUAGAUUUAUGAUCAGAUUAUCUAUGAAUCUUAUUUGAGUUUCUUCUGUUCUCUCUUAUGCAUGAUUUCAUAUCCUUGUAAUUCUCUUCGAGUUGUGGGUUUUGUCUGGCCAACUAGAUCUANNNNNNNNNNNNNNNNNNNNNNNNNNNNNNNNNNNNNNNNNNNNNNNNNNNNNNNNNNNNNNNNNNNNNNNNNNNNNNNNNNNNNNNNNNNNNNNNNNNNNNNNNNNNNNNNNNNNNNNNNNNNNNNNNNNNNNNNNNNNNNNNNNNNNNNNNNNNNNNNNNNNNNNNNNNNNNNNNNNNNNNNNNNNNNNNNNNNNNNNNNNNNNNNNNNNNNNNNNNNNNNNNNNNNNNNNNNNNNNNNNNNNNNNNNNNNNNNNNNNNNNNNNNNNNNNNNNNNNNNNNNNNNNNNNNNNNNNNNNNNNNNNNNNNNNNNNNNNNNNNNNNNNNNNNNNNNNNNNNNNNNNNNNNNNNNNNNNNNNNNNNNNNNNNNNNNNNNNNNNNNNNNNNNNNNNNNNNNNNNNNNNNNNNNNNNNNNNNNNNNNNNNNNACCCAGUGACAGAAGGGGAAGCGAGUCACGCAUCGUGUUGUUGCCAUCAAGGNGAGUAAUAGUAGUAGAUGGAGAAAGUAUCGGUCUACUUGUCUCGGACGUGAUGCCUAUAUGUAUGAUCAUUGCCGUAGAUAUUGUCAUGACUUUGCGCGGUUCUAUAAAUUGCUCGAUGGUAAUUUGUUUACCCACCGUGAUAUUUGCUAUUUUGAGAGAAGCCUUUAGUGAACACUAUGGCCCCGGGUCUACUCCACACCAUGUUUCCAGCCUUACACUUUUUACUUCGUUGCACUUUUCGCCUUCAGAUCUCACUUUGCAAACAAUCUUGAAGUGAUUGACAACCCCUUUAAAGCGUUGGGUGCAAGCUCUUUUGUGUUUGUGCAGGUACUCUGGACUUGACGAGAUUCUCCUACUGGAUUGAUACCUUGGUUCUCAAACUGAGGGAAAUACUUAUUGCUCCUGUGCUGCAUCACCCUUUCCUCUUCAAGGGAAAAAACAACGCAAGGUCAAGAGACGACAAAAGGAUCUCUGGCACCACUGUCGAGGAUGGACUUUUGUUGCCGUAGCAGUGUGUGAGCUAGAUAUAGAAGAAUACGUUUGACAACCUUAUGGUGUGAUUCCUUCAAUUUUGCUUGAAAUUGAGCACACAUGCAAACACUAAGCAUAAUAUGUGGCCUAGAUGCACAUAGUUCAAUAACGAGCCAAUCAUAGAGCGAUAUACCUGCCGAUCGAAUUCUUUACCAUUUUUGUCAGUGCCGAGGUGGCCGUUGGUAGGCAUAGGAAUCUUGACGCCUUUGCAUUCAUGCAUGUCGAAUUUCCUCAGAACGUCCUUGAGGUAUUUCUCUUGAGAUAUGAAGAUGCCAAUGUGUUGUUGACGAAUUUGCAGACCUAAGAAGAAUUUCAGCUCCCCCAUCAUGGACAUUUGAUAUUCUUCACCCAUCAUGUAGGCAAAUUCAUCACUGUAACGUUUGUCAGUACAACCAAAAAUAAUGUCGUCGACAUAUAUUUGGCACACAAAUAGUUCAUUGUCAUAGGAUUUUGUGAAAAGAGUAGGGUCAAGUGAAUCGGGUUUGAAGCCUUUCUUCAUGAGGAAUUCCUUCAAUGUAUCAUACCACGCCAGAGGGGCUUGCUUGAGGCCAUAGAGUGCCUUUUUGAGUUUGAAGACUUUGUCCGGAUGCUUCGGGUCUUCAAAACCUGGUGGCUGAGCAACAUAUACCUAUUCCUCAAGCUUACCAUUGAAGAAUGCACUUUUCACAUCCAUUUGAUAUGGAGUAACAUUGUGAUGAUUAACAUAAGCAAGUAAUAUUCUAAUAGCUUCAAGUCUAGCAACAAGUGCAAAAGUUCCAUCAAUGUCAAUUCCUUCAACGUGUGUGUAGCCUUGGGCUACAAGUCGUGCCUUGUUCCUCACAACCUGAUCAUCCUCAUCUUGCUUGUUUCGAUAGAUCCACUUGGUGCUGAUGAUAUUGUGCUUGCGAGGAUCUGGUCUUUUGACGAGUUCCCACACGUCAUUUAGCUUGAACUGAAGAACUUCAUCUUGCAUGGCUUGAAUCCACUCAGGUUCCAUGAAGGCUUCGGUAACUUUUGAGGUUUCUGUGAUAGACACAAAUGAGGAGUGACCACAAAAGUUAACUAAAUGUGAAGCUUUUGAGCGAGUGAGAGGACCUAUCGCAUUGAUGUCAUCGCGGAUUUUGUCAAGUUCCACUUCAUUUGCAAUCCUUGGAUGAGUUGGUUGAAGACUUUGGUUGGGCUGAGGAAUUUGAUAUGUAGCAUUUUCCUCAGGUGCACCAGCUUGAAUUUCCUUAGUGUUUGGGACGACUUCUUCAACAAGGGGUUGUUCCUCAGUAGGAAUGAUAUCUUCAGUAGCCUUGAGCUUGAUGGCUUCCUGAGGAGAUAGUUUAUCUGGCACAGGAGGUAGUUGCUCUCUUUGCGAGCCAUUAGUUUCGUCGAACCGCACAUCUACAGUUUCAACAACCUUGUUGUGAUAGGUGUUGAAGACUCUGUAGGUGUGCUAGUCCUUCCCAUAACCAAGCAUAAAACCCUCAUGUGCUUUAGGUGCAAACUUUGAGCUAUGGUGAGGGUCUCUAAUCCAACAUCUUGCAUCGAAGACUUUGAAAUAACUUACAUUGGGUUUCUUGUCAGUGAGGAGUUCAUAUGAGGUUUUCUUGAGGAAUUUGCGAAGAUAUACUCGGUUGAUGAUGUGGCAAGUAGUGUUGAUUGCUUCAGGCCAGAAGCAACGAGGAAUCUGAUAUUCUUCAAGCAUAGUCCGUGUCAUUUCGGCCAGAGUCCUAUUCUUGCAUUCAAUGACGCCAUUCUAUUAAGGAGUAUAAGGAGCAGACAGUUCGUGAGUAAUACCAAGUUCAUCAAGAUAAUCAUCAAGGCCAUCAUUCUUGAAUUAUGUCCCAUUAUCACUCAUGAUGUGUUUGAUCUUGACUCCAAAGUUAGUUGAGCCCCUUGAGGAAAAUCAUUUGAAGACUUCCUGCACUUCACUUUUAUGCAGAAUGAUGUGUACUCAAGCAUAGCGUGAAUAGUCAUCAACGAUUACAAAGCCAUAUAAAGAUGAUGCAUUAGUUAGAGUAGCAUAAGGAGUAGGUCCAAACAAAUCCAUGUGAAGCAAUUCAAAUGGACGAGUAGUAGUCAUGAUAGUCUUCGAGGGGUGUUUGGAUCUCGUUGUUUUUCCAGAUUCACAAGCACCACAUAGAUGGUCCUUGAGGAAUUUGACGGAUUCGAUGCCAAUGACAUGCUUCUUCUUCGCCAGUGUGUGCAAAUACCUCAUACCUGCAUGACCAAGUCAUCGAUGCCAUAGCCAGCCUUCUGAGGUGUUUGCUAGUAAGCAUGUGGUUGGUCGAGGACCUGUGGAAAAAUCAACAAUGUACAAAUCUCCUCUCCUAAAGCCUUCGAAGACUUUGGAUUUGUCAUAUUCCAUGAUGACUACACAUCUAUAUUUUCCAAAGAUGGCAACCAUAUCAAGAUCACAAAGCAUUGAGACUGGCAUGAGGUUAAACCCAAGGGAUUCGACAAGCAUGACUUUGUCCAUGUGCCUGUCCUUGGAGAUAGCAACUUUUCCAAGUCCCAAUACCUUGCUUUUACCUUUAUCAGCGUAAGUGAUUUGCUUCAGUGGUGAUGGAGUCAGUGGCAUAUUCAUCAACAUGCUUUUAUCACCAGUCAUGUGAUUUGUGCAACCACUGUCAAGAACCCACUCUGUAUUCUUGGGUUUGUCAUCCCGCAGAUGAAUUAGUACAGCUUACCAUCUCAUAUGCUUCAAACUUGAAGAAUAUGAUAUCAAUUUCAUGAGAUAAGAAUUUCAUCAUAAACAAUAAUUUUGAGGACGUGUGAAAUGUUAUCAUUUCAUCAUUUUUAGCUUGCGUCCAAUCAAGCAAUUUCCUCAGUUCUCGAGCAAAUUCUUUAGAUGAUGACAUUCAUCUGGAGACCUGACCUGUAGAAGAGAUUAGUUCAAUUUCUUCACCACCCACAACUGAAGGGGUGGCAAAAAGUUUAUCAUCCCACGAGCACCAUAUGAGAAUGGAGGCAUUGAAGCUAAUGCACUUCUUUUCACAGUAGGGGGUUAGAUUACUCAAAUGAAUAGGCAGAGAAAUUCUUUGAGGACUUAUGAACAUAAUGAUUUGAGGAAUAACACGCAUAUUCAUGUCCCUUGUAAUUUCCCUGCAUAUCAGAAGCAUUAGCGCGAGUACUAGCAUAAUAUCGACCAUUUGAGGAAUUUGAUACUCGUGAAGACUUUGGUCCACCUUAGGAAUUUGAUCUGGGGUCCUGGUUCUUCACACGUGGUGUCAUGAGGACAUUCACUUGAAGAUUUUCCGAGCAACUUUUGGGGACCCAGAUUUUCCUCAGGGGUGGUCCAUUCCUGUAGUUAGUUCCAACAUAUUGAGCAAAUACUUCACCAGAUUGAUUUUUGAACAGUUUAUAGUUGGAGUCAAAUGACCCAUCAAAGGAAUAGGAUAUUUCACAUGCAAAGCCUGUUAGAGUGGAUGGAUCGAUGGGAGGGCCUUUAGCAGCAACCCAUGAGUUUUUGGGGUACUGCACAGGUUUCCAGUAUGAUCCAUCGACAUUCAAUUUCCUCUCAAAGGCAAUGCCUCUUUCCUCGGGUUCCUGUUCAAAAUAUGUUUUUUGAGCACAUCGCAAAGGGUUUGAUGCCCUUUGAGACUUUUGUAUAUGCAUGUCACAUACAAAUCCUUCAACCCUGCAUUUUUGUGAGUAACAUUUGUGGUUUCCUCAAGUGAAGAAUUUGAUACCACAGGAAUAGUUGAAGUAUUUGUAGCCAUAGAAGCAUUUGAUGAUUCUGGUGAAGAAUUAGCAGUUUCACGCUCAAUGCAUUUCAAACAUGGUGGAAUGAAUUCAACCUGCAAGCAAUGAAUCAUUUUCCAUUCAAAGAUCAUGAUGAGGCAUUAUCAACUUCUCAAGAUCAAGCUUCCUCUUAAGAAAUUCAUAGGAAAGUUUCUCAUGAUCAGCCAAUAGUGUGGCAUAACAAUCUUGAAGACUUUUCACAUCUUGAGUGAGGACUUGAAUACGAUUCAUUUCAUCGUUCAACAAAUCAUCGCUUCUGUCUAGCAGUUUCUGAAGCUUUUCAAUGGCACUUUGUUGCUUAGUGGCAAUGUUGGCAAGUUUAUAGUAACUGGGUUUUUGAUAAUCAUUAGGUUCACAGUCACUAGAAUUAGCGGAGGAAGUAUGGUUUGGUACCUUUGAAAAUUUUAGCAUGAAGCAAUAGGUUGGAGCAAAGUCAUCAGCAUAUUCAUCGGUGUAGAUAGUGUUGUCAUUUUCUUCAAGGUUGAAUAUUGGCUUGCUGACGAAUGUGGUAGCCAGUGCAAGACUUGCCACACCAGACUCUGACUCUACUUCAGAACCUUCCUCUUCAUCACAUUCCUCAGAUUCAUCUUCAGAAUCCAUUUCCUUGCCAACGAGUGCCCGAUCCUUUCUAAAUCUGGGAUUCUUGUGCGAUGAGGACUUUGAAGAUGAGGAUUUCGAAGAUUUCUUCUUUUUCUUCGAGUCAUCAGAACUUUCAUCCUUGUAUUUCUUCUUCCUUGAUUCUUUCACCCAGCGAGGACAGUCAGCAAUGUAGUGACCAGAUUUCUUGCAUUUGUGGCAGGUUCUUUUCUUGUAGUCCUCAGAUAAAGAUUCUGAUUCCCUCAUAUAUCUUCUUGAAGAUUUUCCAAACUGGCCACACUUUGUAAACUUCUGGAAUUUCCUCACGAGCAUUGCAAGUUCCUGUCCAAGUUCUUCAGGGUCACCAAUGUUGCAAUCUGAGUCUUCUUCUUGGAUGAGGAAAUAGCCUUAACCUUCAACGCACGGGGUCUUGAGUAUUUUGGUCCAUACAGAUCUCUCUUUUCUUCUUGUUGGAAUUCAUGAGUAUUGAGUCUCUCAAGUAUACCAGCAGGAUCAAGCAUCUUGUAGUCUUUUUGUUCUUGAAUCAUCAGAACGAGUGUGUCAAAUGAUGGAUCAAGAGAUCUUAGCAGUUUCUUCACAACUUCAUGGUCAGCGUGUCUCUAGCUCCCAGUGCUUGCAGUUCAUUUGAGAUGUCAGUGAGGCGAUCAAAGGUAUCUUGGCAGCUUUCAUUGUCAAGCCUCUUGAAGCGAUUGAAGAGAUUGAGAAGAACAUCGACACGAGAGUCAUACUGUGUUGAGACUCCCUCAUUGACUUUGGACAACCUAUACGAGAUAAGCUUAGAUGUGCCCAAAGCACUCACUCUCCCAUACCAACCUUUGCUCAGAUGGCCACAUAUGAUAUUCUUUGCUUGCGAGUCAAGUUGCUUGAACUUCUUCACAUCAGCGGGAGAGAUAGUAGCAGUGAUGGAGGGAAUAUCAUUUUCCACAAUAUACUAGAGAUCAUUGUCAAUAGCUUGAAGAAGCAUUUGCAUCUUUGUCUUCCAGUAGGGAAAGUCCUUUCCUUCGAAGGCAGGACAUCCAGCAGUAACCUUGAUCAUACUUGCGAUCAACAUAACUAAAACUUCAGGUGGUUAAACCAAAAUCACACAGAACAAGGAAGUACCUUUCUCUGAUACCAAUUGAAAGUGCGUUAUAUCGACUAGAGGGGGUGAAUAGGAGAUUUUAGAAUUUCAUCACUGAGGAAAUUCCUUGUGAGGAAAGUCCUCAGUUAUGAACUGAGUGCAGCAAAAAUAGUACAUGAUCAGGUGUCCAAAAACGUCUACACCAAAGUACUCGAUGAGAUUUCAUAGAUUCGGUUUGCACAGUUCACAAGUACAGAGUAAGCAGGUGAAGAUUAACUCAAGUGAAGAAUUUGAGGUUGAGGAAAUUGAGAGAAAGUCUUCAGACAAAUUCUUCAAACAGUACAGAUGAAAGUCUUCAACAUACAAUUGAGGAAAUGAAAGAGUUGAAGAAAAGGAACCCGUAGCUUGAUGAAGACAAUUGUUGAUGACCCAGUUCCAACUGAUGUGACAGUUGCACGUCUGGUUCGGAGCGGCUUGGUAUUGAAAGCAAAGGACACACAUUCCCUACUGUAUUCUCCUUGAGCUAAGGACACACAGUCCUCGCCCAACACUCGAGUAAAGUCUUCAACGGAUACUUCCAAACCCUCACAAACUCGGUCACCCGGCGAUCCACAAUUGACUGUUGGAUGCUCUAGACCAUGACGCCUAAUCGCCUGGAGGAUGCACAAUCCUCAAAGGUAACAAGCUUCGGUUCCACAUAGGAACAAGUUCUUCAGUUAUGCUCAAUCACUUGGGUUUUUGGUUUGGGUUUGGUGUUUGGGGUAUUUCCUCACUUGAUGAUUUUCUCUCGAAGACUCUAAGGAAUUUGGGUUUCUCUAAAUGACAAGUGUCAGUUUCUCUCGGAGCAGCCAACCAACAAGUGGUUGGGGGGUAUUUAUACUCUUGGAGCACCCUGACAUGAUUUGACAUAAAUGCCCUUAAAUAAUAUGACCGUCGGGUGGAUAAGAUCAGUGACGUGGCGCGUGGCGCGGCAACGGUCAGAACUUUCAACUGUGAAAGUCCUCAUGUCUCUCAUAUUCCUCACUUUGAGGAUUUGGUAAAUUUAGGCUUGGGUUGAGCAUCAUGAGGAAAAUCAUUCCGUAGUUUUACCUCGACCCCCUUUAACAGUACGGUGUUCCUGUGAUUCAAGUGGAAAGAAAAUGAAACAGAAAGAGUAAAUCCUCACGCUUCAAAGUCUUUAGAGUGUUUUCUUCAAGACACACCGAAUUCCUCAUCUUCAAUAUCUUCAUGAGGAAUAUCAAUUUCAUCGCAAUCUCUUCGCGAUCAAAGUCUUCAAGGAAGGACCAAACUCUUCAUCCGAAGACACACAUUUUUAGAGGUCGGUAUUCAUCGGAUAACUCAACCUCCUAAGCGACUUAUAGAGCCUGUAUACACUCACAAACAUAUCAGUCUCUUAACCUAUAAGUCUUCAAACCACCAAAAUCACUAAGGGGCACUAGAUGCAGUUAAAAGCAUAAAUUUUGUAGUCUCCCAUUUACCCAUCUAGCCAAUCUCCUCAUCCUUUCACAAGCACUUACGAAAAAGACUCAUCACAACGUACUCAUCCUCUUUUGGUAGUAUUGGCAUGCGAGUAUACUCAUCAUGAUCUUGGAUCACUAAAAUGAAAAUGGAGAAUGUUUGAGCUUAGCCAACAUAUGUCUUCAUGUAAGAUUGUGGGGGUCAUCUUCAUUGCCUCUGUUGCAACAUAAGGAACUUUCCUGAUAUGACCUUGUAAUAUACAUUAGUUCAUUGAUAUAUGUUGACAUUUAUUACCCAAAUCUAUCUAGGGGAUUAAAUGCAUUUUCAUGGUGCGGUCAUACCUAGGGUUUCUACGAGGAAGGUCUUGAGAAAAAUGCCUCUUGGAUCGAUACAUGACUUACUGGUGGCAAAAGGUAUAAUUUUCAACAACUCCAUAUAUCUUAGCUCUUUGAAUCUGGUUCCAUUGCUUCACGGAUUUGUACCAGAUGUUGCCUCUAGUAUCACAUACAUGCUAUAUUCAGCUAUCCUCUUCAGAGUGAAUCCUAACGGGGCAUUGGUUGCAAGUUGAUAAUUACUACAAUUUCGUGUUAACCGUAGUGAGUGAAUGUUUUUUUAGAACCCUAACUUCUAUUAAUACCUUAUAUUUAUUCCCAAAUUUGAGAUUACUAUCUACUUCUUACUUUAUUUAAGGACGAGUUCUUACCUUUUAUUGAUUCCACACAUGGACUACACCUUCGUGGUUAGGUUUACCUAUCGCCGACAACCUUUAAAAGAAUAGCUUGAUGACAGAGGAUGGCAAUUUUACGCAUGGAUACAGGUGCCCGCGGAUACCGUACCCGCAUGGGUAAGGUAUGGACACAAUUUUAUACCCAUGGAUGGUACCCGUACCCUACCCGUUAAUUCGUAUGUAGUUCAUUGUGAAUCUCUAAAAUGUCUUAUAUUUAGGAACGGAGGGAGUGUGAGUUAUUGAGUAGAGAUAAAUGUCUUUUUAUCAAAUGUGCUAUCGAUGAAUGUAAAAUUGCAAAUAACUUGUGUACUAUUUGAUCUAUCGAUCGGGUAUCCAAUGGUAUGGGUACCCAUCGGGUAUGAGUACGGAUAAAAUUUCAUAUGCAUGGGUACGAGUAUGGAUAUGAUAUUGCUCUACCCGUUCAUGCCCUACACGUUGCCGUCCUGCUAAGGCGUGUCGACUCUGUCUGAUGUAUAAUGUAGUUAGGUCUUCAAAGUCGAAGCAAAUGAGUGAUUCUCAUCGAAAGACCAGGACACUCAAGGUGCAUAUCACCAAGCUAGAAUUCUACUCCCUCCGUUCUUAAAUAUAAGUCUUUUAAGCGAUUUCACUAAGGGUCUACGUACGGAGCAAAAUGAUUGAAUCUAUACUCUAAAAUAUGUCUAUAUACAUCCGUAUAUAGUCCACUAGUGAAAUCUCUAAAAAGACUUAUAUUUAGAAACCGAGGGAGUACAUGGUUUAUUUAUUUAUUUUUGCCGAGGGAUUGAUAUAGCAAAAUAAGAUUCUGCAUGUGGUAAGGAAACCAAAUUCUUGGUGUACCCUGUUAUUUCCUUUUCCUCGUGCAUACUGUCGUGUUCAUAUUUUUUUUAAAUCUCAUCUUUUAUCAAUAAUUUAUCUUUAUUUACAACUUUUUGCUUGCUAUUUUUAUGAGUUCAUUGUCCUCAAUUGCACGCGUGGACUAGACAUUGAUGGUUCAAUUGAUCAUUUUGUAAACUUCAAAAGAUUCUUUGUAUAUUACUUUUUUAUUUUUUAUUUGUGUGAAAUGAGAUUAUUUGAUCGUGUACAUUUCAAUUAUGCAAAGACAGCGUGCAAUGAUUAAAUAUUUUAACUAAUAAGUCACCCCUUUUGAAGAAAAAAAAACUGAUAAAGCAUGUCGUUUAGUAUGUGAUGUGUGUAUGAUGUAGUUGGGUCGUCAAAGUCCAUAGCUGUCCAAGUAUUUGAAGGAGUGCUUCUAGUUGAAAUGUCAGAGCUUCUAAGGUUUAUAUGACCAAGCCAAAAUUCUACAGUAUAUAUGUGAUUUUUUAUCGUCUUUUUCUGCCCAGGGAUUGAAAUAAGAAAAAUAAAACUCCACAUCUUCUCGGAAGGAAAAGGAAAAUUCUUAUAUACUAAAAAAAAAGAAGGAAAAUUCUUGGUGUGUCCUCUUCUUUCCCUUUCUCCCACUGUCCUUCCGAAUCAAAACAAAAGCCAAACGACUAUUCCAAAAUUUCCCAGCAUCCAUUUCCUCCCCCAUCUCCACCGCCACCACCUCCUCCCCCCCUCCUCUCCAUGGCCGACUACCACCGCCCCUACCAUCGCGACCUCCGCCCCCCGCCGUCCUCGGUCCCGGACCCCACCGUCUUCCACGGCAAUGGUUACUUCUCCUCCGUCUCCCCACAAGCCAACGGCUACUUCUCCUCCGCGCCGAAAGACGGCGCCUUCCCCGGCGCAGGCGACCGGCGGAUCGAGAUCUACACGACGGCGCCUCCGCCUCUCCCACCACCUCCGCGCCUCGCACUGCCCCCUCCUCCGGGCAGGAGGGAAGGUGGCGUGGGGAGCGGAGGCAGCGGAGGGGGAGGCGGGGGUGGUGGAAGCGCCAACAUGUGGUGCUUCAGCGACCCGGAGAUGAAGCGGCGGCGGCGGGUGGCGAGCUACAAGGCUUACUCAGUGGAGGGGAAAGUGAAGUCGUCGCUGAGAAGGGGCCUCCGCUGGUUCAAGGGCAAGUGCUCCGAUAUCUUCCACGGCUGGUAACCUCCUCUGCUCGGACGGUGACAGGGUCCCAAGAAACCCAAGCUCCUGAAAAUGUCUGCAUUUUGGAAUCUUUUGUUUGAAGGUAAUGUUCAGAAUAAUUCCUCUACCACUGAUUGGAUGCAUUUGAGGUUGUGACUGUAUAUUGAUGAGCUAAUGGAGGCUUAGAGGAACUUGCGACGGGUGUGAAUUUUCAUGAAUGUUUGUGAUGUGUCGUAUUCGAACCUCUGUAGAUUUAUCUGCAAGCGGUGGUGGUGAUUAGUCAUGUUACCCAUAUCUGUUACUACUAAUAAAAUACUAGGGCUGUGUGGGCAAAUGUAUCUUUUUAUGGAUAGUCGCAUGGUUUUAGUGGUUAUGAUUAUUUGUUGGGAGAUUGGUUUUCAAUCAGACUCAGGAAUCAUGGAAAUUUUUGCUUUUUUUGUACUCGAUCACUAUGAAUGCUGAACUGUCAGUGGUACUACCAUUUUAUCUUGUGGUUUGAAUGGCUGGUGAAGUGUGUGGUACUGCCAUCCAUUGGAGUAGGUGUUCCGCUAGGAGGGAUUGAAGUGCAAUAAAUUCUUUCAGGCAGGUACGGAUUAGGUGCAUUUAUGAACUUCCAUCUGAAAUUAAUAAACAGAAGGACAUAUGAGACUGAACACCCCACUGAUUGGCUUAAAACUGUUGCAAAUGCUGCUAAUUACCUAAUCACAUAUUCAGUGGUAGUCUGAUAACUAACGUCAGCUAUUUGAACAUAAUAAUUUGGUCCAGUUCUUUUUGUUAUUUCUACAUGUAUUUUUUUAUAGAAAAUAUGAAGUUAUCCUGUGGUUGGUGUGGCAUGUUGACAACCAAACCAUUUCACAUUACUAUUGGCUUGAUUAUAUUGCUUGACAACCCUUUGUUUGUUUCAACCCUACGUUCGGUGUGGCAUGGUUUGGUUCACCAAACUUCCUUAUGUUUGUCCGUAUGGUAACAACACAGUCAAGCCAAUAUUUGUUGAUAUGUAGAUAUGUUGAUGACCUACCUUUGGUCUUUAUGUUACAAUUAUCAUAUCAGCCCUUUGGUCCUUACGAUAGUAACAUAAUUGACCCUUUGCUUGAUAGAUUUGCUAGACAACAUCAUCGUCAGCAUGGUAAAAUCAGUCUUAUUUCUGGCAGAGGUGCUUUUGGUUGAUGACUUGAUGUUACACGGUGACUAAGCCUUGUAUAUCAUGUUAAAGAAACAUAGUAGACGCUAACACAUUUUCAGUUUGGAUUUUCCGCGAGCUCUAUAAUCAGGCACAUUCAACACAGAUGCAUCGAGAUGUAUAGAUGAAUUGAUUAUGUUGUGUGUCAAAUCUUAAUAUGCGUUGUUCGGGCCAUGAGACAAAAGUGAUUCUCAUCAAUCUGUAUAGCGGGGCCAAACGAGUUUCCUUUGUUAAAGAAGAUUGCACAUGAUUGAUCUGUUGCUAGUUCCUCCAUUGGUUCAUUCUGACGGGUAGUUGCUUAAUCUUGUCUAUUCCCUGCUUCCCUGUUUUUUUUUGUAUGAUGAGUACUUCUUCUGAGUGAACAGUUGCUUUCAUUUGACUUGUUUCAGAAAGUUCCAUUUUCAUGAAAAAAAACUGAUGCUGCAUUGAGGGCACCAGCCAUGCAAUGCAAAAAUGUCCUACGAAAUGAUAAUGGAAUCUUUGACUGCUUGUGUUUCUCAGGAAGAGGUGUGGAGGCGUUUGCUCCUGACAUAGCCCACAUGUUUCUUUAUCUUCAUCUUUACUCUCAAUAAUGAUGUCAAACGAUGGGGGGAGUGGUCCGGGAACCUUCUCCUCUUUACUCUUGGGAUUUCAAAACUUUGAUCUUAGGUAUCUCAUUUUGCUGCAAACAACUCUCAGUACUUCUUGAGAUGGAAGAUCAUCCAAUAGCUGGGAUGAAGCCCAGAGCGUGCUAUGGAUUGAAGUUGUGAUACCGCUGCUGGAGUAGCCUAAUUUGUUGAUCUACUAGUGUUCCGUAAUUUCUUCUGUGUAAUAGGUUGCAGUUCCCUCGAAAAAAAAAGGGUUGAAGUUGCAACUUACUACCUCCGUUCCUAAAUACGUCUUUUUAAAGAUUUCACUACGGACUACAUAUGAAAAAAGAAGCGAAUUAUAUACAUCUGUAUGUAGUCUGUAGUGGAAUCCCUAAGGGCUCCUUUGAUUCAAAGGAAUUGAAUAUGAUUUUUGGAGGAUUUAGUCCCUUAGGAAUUUUUCCUUUGAUGGUCGUUUGAUUCGUAGGAUUGGCAUCCUUAGGAAUUUUUUCAUAGGAUCUAUUUGUACAAAAUUUUGGAGGAAAUUUUUCAUCCACUCAAACCUCUUUGUAGAAUUUGUUGAGUUGUUACGUUCCUUGUGCAUAACGUUUCCUUGUACUUAUCCACUGUAACCACCACACCUAGUCUUGGGGAUGACUGCGGCACCACCUCCUUCAUAUCCUUGCAUGUAGGGAUCGGUGGUGACCCUUGGUGUAUAUAUAUGUGUAAUCUCUUGAUGAGUAAAGU